GUGCUUGCUUUGGCAGCACAUAUACUAAAACUGGAACGAUUCAGAGAAAAUUAGCAUGGCCACUGCACAAGGAAGACAUGCAAUUUCAUGAAGCGUUCCAUAUUUAA